CCUACGGGAGGCAGCAGUGGGGAAUUUUGGACAAUGGGCGCAAGCCUGAUCCAGCAAUGCCGCGUGAGUGAUGAAGGCCUUAGGGUUGUAAAGCUCUUUUACCAGGGAUGAUAAUGACAGUACCUGGAGAAUAAGCUCCGGCUAACUCCGUG
rnacentral:rRNA from 1 species